rnacentral:lncRNA from 1 species
CGGGCCAGGUGGUGUUUACCAGGAAUUCUGUUUGCGAUGUUUCAUUCACACAUGCAAGUCAUGAUGUUGCAGCCAAGUAAUGAAUAACACUGGAGAACCAACCCUGGAGGUCUUUGAUGAAUGAACAUGUGUAUCAGAACAUGGGCUUUUGUAUCUGUUUACCAACAAUUGAAUACCCAUUGUGCAAAGGCAUAUAAUUUAUUGCUAACAAAACCGCAGCACUCAAAAAUGUAUAAACACAGCAUUUUUGAUCCCCUGCGACUAUAAGGACUGGGGCAGCUUUCCUGCUCAUGCGUCCCCAAUUCAACCUUGACCCUGAUCCUAAUCACACUUAUACAGAGAUCUUGUGGUGAUAACUUCCUGACAAAUGUGUUUCGGCCUGUUGUCUCGGCUUCUAUGUCGUUGUCCAGUCAUCCUCCGCCAACGCCGUAAUUUGAUCCUUCCUCAACUUUGCGUUAAUAAUCACUGGUUAGGUCGUUGCUCUGACUGCCUUCACUUAUGGAUUCACUCUCAGUGUCUCCACCUUCUGACUGAGCGUCACUGUCACUCUCCUCGCUUGCUACAGAUUCAUCGUCACUUGCCAUUUCCGCUGUAUCUGAAGCACCGUCGCUGGCAGCACCGUUUUCCGCACUCAGAGGUGCACUCUCACUAUCGCCGUCAGGUUCUUCUGCCACAAUGAAACUGCUGAUUUGUCUUUCCUGCAUUCUGAGCAUAGCAGCCGCUGUCCCAGUCCGUCGGUCAGCAAGUGGCAGUGCCAGCAACGAGCGCAUUCCUAUCAUGGUUCCGCAAGUGCCUCCUCAGGUUCCUCCUCAGUUUCCUCCUCAGUUUCCUCCUCCACUUCCAGCACAACCAUACCCACCUCAGAUUCCAGCACAGCCAUACCCACCUCAGAUGAUCCCGAUCUAUGUGACCUAUGAUCCAGCUCAGGGUUUGCCCUCUAUUCUCAGCAAUCUGCCAGGCGUGGUGAACCCUGGACCUGGAGGUGUUGGUGGCCCAUUUCUGGUAAGACAAUUUACUGUUCAUCAUUAUUACUAGAUUGUAGCACUGUGGCGGGGGGAGGGGGGAUAUCUACACUGCACUGUGGAAAUCGGCCCAUAAUGUUCACCAAAUAACCGUGUGACUGACCUCUGUUACAAGAAUGCAGUGUACUGAUUUUUUGCCUCUCUCUAGAUCCCUUAUCCUGGAAUUCCUGGGGCGGUAAGUUCAUUGAUCUUCAUUGCAUCAUAUUUCCAUAGUCAGAGAUCCAAGGGGAAACUCAGAGGUCUUUGAAUGAUUGCCUGAUUAUAUGUGUAGGUUUAGGCCAUUGCACUUAAUGAAAGGUAUCCUGCAAUAGAAGCGGGGAGAGAAAGCCCUCCACGUUUGUGGGGGAGAUCAUGGGCACAUUUGGAAUUUUGAAAAAGUGGCUUCCGUGGAGUUGUUACCUGUCAGAACCAAAAAAACAUAUAUGAAAUAUGAAGACAUAUUAUUUCAUUAUUCGCAACUUUUAACAUAUUUAUGAUCUCAAUAAAAAUUAACAAUGCACAGAGUGUUUCAUUUAAAAACCAAAAGGCAAACAAAAUCUUCAAAAGAUUUUAUAGUGCUCUGUUUUGAAUUCCAAACACUCUAGAAGUUUCCAGUUCUUCAGAUUUAUUGGCAAACAGUUUUCCUUGCCCUCACAUAAAGGUAAAGGUAAAGGUAAAGGGACCCCUGACCAUUAGGUCCAGUCGUGACCGACUCUGGGGUUGCGGCGCUCAUCUCGCUUUAUUGGCCAAGGGAGCCGGCGUUUGUCUGCAGACAGCUUCUGGGUCAUGUGGCCAGCAUGACUAAGCCACUUCUGGCGAACCAGAACAGCGCACGGAAACGCAGUUUACCUUCCCGCCGGAGCGGUACCUAUUU